rnacentral:rRNA from 1 species
UACGUAGGGGGCAAGCGUUGUCCGGAUUUACUGGGCGUAAAGCGCGCGUAGGCGGAAGCUCAAGUCUGGCCUGAAAGCCCCCGGCUCAACCGGGGAGUGGGGCUGGAAACUGGGUUUCUUGAGGGCGAUAGAGGAGUGUGGAAUUCCUGGUGUAGCGGUGAAAUGCGUAGAGAUCGGGAAGAACAUCGGUGGCGAAAGCGCUCUACUGGACCGCAACUGACACUCAGGGACGAAAGCUAGGGGAGCGAAUGGG